UUAGGAAUUUUGGGCAAUGGGCGCAAGCCUGACCCAGCAACGCCGCGUGGGUGACGACGGCCUUCGGGUUGUAAAGCCCUUUUCUGAGGGAAGAUGAUGACGGUACCUCAGGAAGAAGCACCGGCUAACUACGUGCCAGCAGCCGCGGUAAUACGUAGGGUGCAAGCGUUGCCCGGAUUUAUUGGGCGUAAAGGGCGUGUAGGCGGCAGGGCAAGUCAUGCGUGAAAUCUCCCGGCUCAACUGGGAGGGGUCGCGUGAUACUGCUCGGCUUGAGCAAGGUAGGGGGCAGUGGAAUUCCCGGUGUAGUGGUGGAAUGCGUAGAUAUCGGGAGGAACACCAGUGGCGAAGGCGGCUGCCUGGACCUUUGCUGACGCUAAGGCGCGAAAGCGUGGGGAGCGAU
rnacentral:rRNA from 1 species